rnacentral:lncRNA from 1 species
UCCGCGUAUGAGAUGAUGCGCUGACAACCCGCCUGCACGCGACAAGACGCAUGCAGGUCCUGACCCUGGGUUGUUCUUGCGAAUGGGACGUGCACACUGUGUGCACGUCCCGUGCGUGCGUGCGCACUGUGUGACAUCCCGUGCAUGCGUGCGUGCGGACGAGAUGUGUGUGCUAUGCGCACAGUGCCCAGCUUCCGCGCGAGCAACCUGACUCCCCAUGGGUUUUUCUUCCUGAUUUGC